GCUGACAGUCACACCCUAAGAUGUAUAAGAAGAGGUCCCAGAGGUGUAGUUUAUGGGAUGUUUCUGAUAAACUGUAGGUUUACAUUUGAUUGGAAGGCUGUACAGGUGGUUUGGGGGAUGCGCAGCGUUGCCUAACGUCACGCUCGGUGGUGGUAUAAAAUCCCCUGGGUUUGUCCUCCAGUCAUUCAUCUUGAGAAAAGCCGGAGGCAGCAUAGCGAUAUUACGCGUAAUUGUGGCUGGGAAGAAACCGAUUUCACGAUGACUAAACUUGUGAUGGCUUACAUUGGAUUCCUUCUCCUUGCAAUGCAUUUUUCAUCACAGGUCCACGCGCAAAAGGCUAGCACACAGUCCCCUGCCAUGAAUGCUACGACCAAAGCUGGCGGCGCGAGUUCUAACAUGACCAAGAUGCCCGAUGUCGCCAAGAACAACACCAUUCCCAAAGGAGCCAGUGCGUCCUUGCAGUCCAGCUCGGUCGCGCUCAUCAUACCCAUCCUGGUGGGGGGCUCUCUACAGGGGCGCUUCUAGAGGGCUGUUGAUCACUGAACAGACACCGGCAAGACUUUAACAUCAGCGACCUAGAUGGGGCGAACUGUUUUACAAAGAGCACAUUUUUUUAAAUGCACUUCAGAAAGGCAGUCAUGUCGAGUUGCGUGCCGGACGAUAACCCUUUUCUACUUCACUGAUGGGAAUUGUUAUUUACCCUCACACCUUCCGGCCUGUUUAAACACCUCGCACACUGGCCCCAUGCCCAUAGGCUGAACGGUACGGUCCUCUCCAUGGCGGCAGUACGGAACUCUGCACUUUGAACCGUUUGGUCCCCCUGUUCCAGUGUAGACACCAGGGGGUAGUUUAGUGAUUUCUUAACAAUUUAACAUGUCUAAAGAAAUGUCUGAGGCACUACGAAAAUAAGGUAUAAAUGAAUCUGUGGCACAUGCAUUAACACUGGUACUUCUGCAACUGCAGUGACUACUUUGUCAGGCUUGAUGUACACUUGUGACAUUUAUUUCUAGAAUAUGGGAUUGUUUGAGUUGGCAUAUGUGAGAUAUAAUUGUGUAAAUCAUGUGAUAUGCUUAAAUGUGUUUUUAUGGUCAGGCUCAAUUAAAGCUUUGAAAUAUAGCUUAAUUGUGACGCUUUUCUUAUAUAAUAAAAAUACUUAAACAUAAUUUUGACUUCUCCUGUCCUUAAAUUAUAAAGCUAGACCUGCCAAGUAAUUUGCUCUGUUCCACUGUCUCCAGCCCCUUUAUUGAUCACAUAGCUAAGACCAGGGAUUUACUCAGGUAGACUAGGUUUCAUGUGCCACAAUUUAAAUCCUUAUUUUAGAAUGGGGAAUAGGAAUGUUUGCCUUUGGCCAGUUGUAGCAUUUAUGCCAUGUCAACUAGGACAUGAUAAGUCUUACAUCCCUUGUGGCCAAAACAGGUCAGUGUCCUGACAGUUGACUUGUCUGCUUUAAAGCGCGUUUACUUUACCCUAGCUACAUUGACCUGUGACCAGUCAUUUGUAAACUAGCCUACAAAGAUGUUCAGGGUAAACCUGUAAGGUAUAUUUAAACUAAACGUUUAUUGACACUGGGUCUUGCUGGUUGGCUCUGGUUACCUUUUUACAAUGGUGACGUUCAUCCCAUAAGUCUAAGCUAAAUGGAAUGUUUUAAGGUCAUAUCAAGAUUAUUUUCACUUGUUUAUAAUUAAACUCCCUUGACUGAAACCAUGUAACUAUUAGACAUUACUGCAAUUAGCCCAUACAGUUCAUUCUCUGUCCUAGAUCUGAGAUCAGGAUACUUUUGUAAAAUGUAUUUAUUGGCACUAAAUCUAUUUUUCAACAUACUGUGGGACCUUCAAGUGAUGUUUGAGUCUCCCCUUUCCAGAGGGGUCAUGGUGUGUAGACUGUUCAUAUGUUAGAGGCUGUUCAGACUGGUCCCAAGAUGGUUGUAAAGAAACUGAAUGUGUUUGCGAGCGACGUGAGUAGACCGGUUUUCACACAGGCAGAUGCGGUGGAUUUACAUGCAUCCAAUGCAAACUAUGGGUAUUUAAUGCUAAUCGACCUCAGGGGGUUUGAAACGAUGCUGAAGAUUGGUCAUUUUGUUUUUGAGGCUUACCUGUUUGGCAUUCUCACAUCAGUUUGUUAACGAAAAGUAUU
rnacentral:lncRNA from 8 species